UCUCUAAUCAGACAUAAACAAAGAAAAAAUGACCAGCUAAAACAGUAGCCAUACUCUCAGUAUAGAUAAACAUCUAUUCAAAAUAUUGUCUAUCACUGGAAAGGAAUCUCCCUUUCUGACAACUCAUUCUAUGAAUUUGCAGAACGGUUGUACAUGUAUUUUCAAUACCUCUUGUUGGCAAAAUAAUCUGUUAUUGCACACAAUCUAAACAUGCGUACAUUAUUAGUUAUAAACCAGAAAAACAGUACUUGAAUGAAUAUGCAACAAGUAGCCUGGUGUUGUCUAGCCUUUCUUCUAGGCACAUGCAUGGUAAAUGUGAUCAUUUGCAGAAGUAUAUCUGUAUGGAUGAAAGCUUCUCAUUUCAUGGGUCCCCAGAAGAGAAGGCAUAGCACUGCAUAUAUCUUGAUGGAAACGUAAGACUGGUUUAUGGUGUCAGUUGAGAAUUACAGUGUCAGUAGAAUGGCAGACUCCACACCAAUUUUAGUAGACAUUUAGAUCAAGUAAAACUUUGUUUUCCUUUGAAUGUCAAAAUUAUACAUUAAAACAUAAAUAAUGCUGGUAAAAGAAAAAUGCAAUUACUGAUUAUAUCAGAGAAAGCUAUCUAUCUGAAUGGGCAACUGUCAUAAAAUAAUUCAGUGGUGUCAAACUUGUGACACUCCAUGUGUUUUGGACUUCAGCUCCCAGAAUUCCUGUCCAUUGGGCAAGCUGGUUGGAGCUUCUGGGAGUUGGAGGCUCAAACAUCUGGAGGGCCACAAGUUUGACACCAUUGGGUUAAUGGGACACACCGACCCCUGAAGAGAUCUCUCCUAGCAAAACACAAUUGUGGGGGGAAAUCCCGCUCAAUGCCCACUGGGAUUGUGGAAGGGCAAUUUUGCUAUAUUCAGCCAGUCUAUGUUUCAAAUGAAGCUAUCUUUUGAUCUUAAACUAGUAUUUGGGUGUAAAAAAUGUUUUUAAAAAACAAAACCACUCUUUUGGAUGCUUGGGGUGACAAAACUCUUAGGAAGUCUCCCAAAAUAGCAGAGCAUCCAAAAUUAUAACAGGAUACUUAAUUGAACAGUCAGCUCACAACAAGCGGAAAGGUGAAGUGUGUGUGGCUGCAGGCAAAGAUGCAGAGUUCAAUCUUCAAAGUUACCAAAAGGUUUAUUUAAAAAAUAAGAACUACAUUCCUUGAUAGGAAAGAAUCAGGUCUAAGCUUCUCUCUAACUCCAUAAUUUUUAAGUUCCAAAACAAGAUGAAAAACCUCCAAACAUUACAUAUCUUCAAACAGAGUAGAGAAAAGUCUGAGUACAAAGAUGGAAAAGCAGAAGUCUUAAACAAAGGCAUGCAGCCUGAAGAGUAUCCAUUCUGACCACCAAUCAGGAUGGGAGAAGAAAGAAAAAGAGGGGUGAGAGAGAGAGUGUGUGUGUGUAUGUGUGUGUAUGUAUAUAUGUGUGUGUGUGUGUGUGUGUGUGUGUGUGUAUAUAUAUAUAUAUAUAUUAGCUGUGCCCAGCCACACGUUGCUGUGGCGUUGUCUGGUGGUGUUGGUGAGAAAUUUGAGUUAGUGGUGGUAUUGAAUGUCUGUUAUAUGGUUGUCUUUAUGUUUAGUAUGUACAGUAUUUGGUUGUUUGUGUAAUGUGAAAGUGGUGAGAGUAGAGGGGGUCUUUGUCGCUGUGUAGUAUUGUAUAGUAUGCAUACGUUGUCCAAGUGUUGUGAAUGGUUAGAUUGUGUCUUGGUGCAUAGUAGAAAGGGUUGGGGUGGAUGGCCGUUAGGGGUGUCUCCAAAUUAUUGGAUGGUAUAGUUGUAUGAUGAUGAUGAUUAUUAUUAUUAUUAUUAUUAUUAUUGCUGUUAUCAUCAUGAUUAUAAUCUUUAUUAUCAUCAUCUAUAUAUAUAAAAGAGUGAUGGCAUCACGGCAAUUCACAAAACAACAAAAGUACAGGCCCCCCAACCUCAAAAUUUGACAACACAACCCAUCAUCCACGCCUCAAGGUUGAUACAACAAAAACAAAAGAAAAAUAAAGUCCUAAUUAGAGGGAGAGCAAUAAUUUUUUUUAUCCAAUUGCUGCCAGUUUAGAGGGCUAAUCUCUGCCCACUUGGUUGCCUAGCAACCAAGGGACAGCCAGGUUUCAGUUAGGGGACAGGCCGAUUUAGGCCUCACUUAGACUUCUUCCACAGAUUAUCUAAUUUGCACUGGAUUAUAUGGCAGUGUAGACUCAAGGCCCUUCAACACAGCUAUAUAACCCAUUUAUAAUCUUAUAUUAUCUGCUUUGCACUGGAUUAUCUUGACUCCACACUGCCAUAUAAUCCACUUCAGUGUGCAUUUUAUACAGCUGUGAAGAAGGGGCCUCAUAUAAUCCAGUUCUAAGCAGAUAAUUUAAGAUUAUCAAUAUACAGUAGAGUCUCACUUAUCCAACGUAAACAGGCUGGCAGGAUAAGUGAAUAUGUUGGAUAAUAAGAAGGGAUUCAGGAAAAGCCAAUUAAACAUCAAAUUAGGUAAUCGUUAUAAAAAUUAAGCACCAAAACAUCAUAUUAUACAACAAAUUUGACAGAAAAAGUAGUUCCAUGCACAGUAAUGCUAUGUAGUAAUUACAGUAGAGUCUCACUUAUCCAACACUCGCUUAUCCAACGUUCUGGAUUAUCCAACGCAUUUUUGUAGUCAAUGCUUUCAAUAUAUCGUGAUAUUUUGGUGCUAAAUUCAUAAAUACAGUAAUUACUAUAUAGCAUUACUGUGUACUGAACUACUUUUUCUGACAAAUUUGUUGUCUAACAUGUUUUGGUGCUUAAUUUGUAAAAUCAUAACUUAAUUUGAUGUUUAAUAGGGUUAUCCUUAAUUCCUCAUUAUCCAACAUAUUCGCUUAUCCAACGUUCUGCCGGCCCAUUUAUGUUGGAUAAGUGAGACUCUACUGUACUGUAUUUACAAAUUUACCACUAAAAUAUCACAAUGAAUUUAAAACACUGACUACAAAAACAUUGAUUAUAAAAAGGCAGACUGCGUUGGAUAAUCCAGAACAUUGUAUAAGCGAAUGUUGGAUAAGUGAGAUUCUUCUUUAAUAUGAAAUAAUUACUGGGAUAGAAUAAUGCAGAACAAUAUAAUCUCUAAAACCAGGACAGUAAAUAAACAGGGGAAUUCCACACAGGAAACAAUCAGGGCCAGCUAACACCUCCCAACAAAGUAUUCCCAUCAUCAAAGUCUGGAAAAUCCUCUGUUUUCUCAGGGCUACAGACAGUAGAAGCACAUAAAAUAUCGCAAACAAUACCACUCUGAAAACAAGGGAAUUCCAGACAGGAAACAAUCAGGGCCAGCUAACACCUCCCAACAAAAAAUUCACUCAGGGAGGAAACAGCCAGGCUUUAAAGCUGCAAGGCCAUUACAUCCUAAUCAUUUUUCCUAAUUGCAGCAUUCAUACUUGCCUCCAACAAACAAAAAAAAAACCAAUCAGAAAUAUUGUAUAUUCACAACCUUUAGGAAAUAAUAUCCCCUGAUGGCGCAGCGUGUUAAAGCGCUGAGCUGCUGAACUUCUGGACCGAAAGGCCACAGGUUUGAAUUGGGGGAGCGGAGAGAGCCCCCACUGUUAGCCCCAGCUUCUGCCAACCCUGAAGUUUGGAAACAUGCAAAUGUGAGUGCAUCAAUAGGUACUGCUCCGGCGGGAAGGUAACGCUCCAUGCAGUCAUCCCACAUGACUUUGGAGGAGUCUAUGGACAACGCCGGCUCUUCGGCUUAGAAAUGGAGAUGAGCACCAACCUCCAGAGUAAGACACGACUGGACUUAAUGUCUGGGGAAAACCUUUACCCUUUACCUUAACUACCACCAAUUCCUUAAUACUUUAUUUCCCAUACCACCAUGUUUUGCCACAGCAACGCGUGGCCGGGCACAGCUAGUUAUUAUUAUAUAGUGGGUGGAUGGCCAUCUGUCAGGAGUGUUUGGAUUGUGUGGUCUUGCAUGGUAGAAGGAGGUUGUACUGGAUGAUUCUUAGGGCUGUCUGGAAACAUGAGGAUUCCGUGAUAUUGUUAUUAGUAUUAUUAUUAUGAAGAGGCUGUAUGGCCAUCUGUUGGGAAUGUUUGGAUUGUGUUCUCCAUGGCAGGAAGGGGUUGGACUGGAUGGCCUUUAGGGGUCUCUGCUAUCUCUGUGACUGUAGGAUUCUAUUAUUAUUUUUAUGGUGGAGAUUGUGGAGAUAUUGGCUGGCUAUCUGUCAGGAGUUUGUCGAAGAGAUAAGCAAACACUCUAAAGGUUCAAAACAUAAAAAGAUAUGUGACAUGUAAGGGCCACAGAAAUAGUCAGGCCUCUCUGAGUAUAGAGCUAUCUUCUUUCUAUGUGAAAAAGAUAAGCAAACACUCUAAAGGUUUCAAACAUAAAAAGAGAUGUGACAUAAGAGCCACAGAAAUAGUCAGGCCUCUCUGAGUAUAGAGCUAUCUUCUUUUUAUGUGAAAAAGAUAAGCAAAUACUCUAAAGGUUCCAAACAUAAAAAGAGAUGUGACAUGUAAGAGCCACAGAAAUAGUCAGGCCUCUCUGAGUAUAGAGCUAUCUUCUUUCUAUGUGAAAAAGAUAAGCAAACACUGUAAAGGUUCCAAACAUAAAAAGAGAUGUGACAUGUAAGGGCCACAGAAAUAGUCAGGCCUCUCUGAGUAUAGAGCUAUCUUCUUUCUAUGUGAAAAAGAUAAGCAAACACUCUAAAGGUUCCAAACAUAAAAAGAGAUGUGACAUGUAAGGGCCACAGAAAUAGUCAGGCCUCUGGGGUCUCUGCAAACCUUAGGAUUGUAUGAUGUUGUUGUUGCUAUUAUUAUUAUUAUUAUUAUUAUUAUUAUUAUUAUUAUGAGGCUGGGUGGCCAUCUGUUGGGAGUGCUUGGAUUGUGUCCUGCAUGGCAGAUUGUGGGAGGUGUUAGCUGGCCCUGAUUGUUUAGUGUCUGGCAUUCCUGUGUUUUAAGAGUGUUGUUUUUUAUUUGGUGUUGUGAUUUUAAGCUUGUUAAAAUAUUAGGAGUCAGAUUGUGUUGAUUGUCAUGGUUCAUAGCAUAUAUUUAAAAUAUAGAGUAUUAAAAUGGGUUAGAUAUUGUAGAAGGUUGGAUAAGGUUGUAUAGUGGAGAGAUAAAUGAUUCGGAUGAUGGGCGGGUGCUAGGACCCAGGGGACAGCUUUUUCCCAUUGCCUGCCUUUCCUCUUGCCGGCGGCCAUGAGACUUUUCUUUCCCUCCCUCCCGGCAUGGCUCUCGAUGGUGCGUUGUGGGUUCUGUCCAUGUAGAGGGCUGGAUCCAGAUUUAGAUGUAUAAAAAUGAACCAGAGGAAAAGGACUUCCCAUUACACUCUUCUCCACAGAAUGCUCUGAAGACUAAAUCUUUACAGAUCAGAUGGAAACAUAUGUGAACAAAGCUUUUAUGGACAAAAAGAUUCUGGAUCUAAACCUAAUAAAAGAUCAAAGCUACUAUCCUGUCCAACAUGCAAGUUCUAGAAAAUAGAUUGAGCCAAAUCUGCUUCCAACUUGUUGGCUUCAAGGGAACAACUUCCUCCUCAGCACAACGGAUCUGUUAUUUGCAUUGAACAAGAGGCUGAAGAAUGUUCCAACUACUGUAAUGCAGAAAUGGACCUUGAUGUCAUCAUAAUAACUGACGGUACUUUGACAACUGUAGCUUUCCCAAUGUAGGGAAAUAGACACCUGCAAUAGCUAGAAAAUUAUUUAGGUUCCUAAGCACUUAUGUCCUAAGUUUACUGGGUUUAUAUAAUAUGACAAAAUAAAAGCUAAGUAAAAUACUA